CUUCAAAGGUGAACUGUCAGAGGAAUCAAUGAAGAUUCCAUAGAACUUGAUUACCAAGGGGAAAAUGGAUGGACCAAGCCUCCCCACCCACAUCUAACCUUGCCCUAAACCCUCAGAAGUCUGGCUCCUGGGAAGCUGGUGAACCCAUAGGUCUGUCCUCAUGCAAAGCAGCGGCGUCCUUCUCACUGAAUGAAAUGACUUUUUUCCACGAGUUAGCAUGGAAUGUAGCAGCAGGCUGCGCCAUGGCCCCUUUUUAUUCAGUAAACAUUGUCUGCACAUCCACCCAUGGCCAGACUCCACACUAGAUGCAGACCAGGUGAAGGAGAGCUCUCUGUCCCACAGAACUUCUAUGGCCAUCUUAACUCCCACAACCAAAGACACCGUGAGACACAGUUCUUGCUUCUACAUUGUUUGCAAGACUGCCUGACUUCUGUUCAUGCUCAGAGCAUCAAGGCUUGAAUGGCUGAAGCAUUUUGCAAAGGACGUGGUAAAUACCAAAUCUUACAAUGCUGAUUGGCUUGUGAUUGCUUGUGAGGGAUUUCCUGCACAAAUGGCCAAAGCUUCAAUGUAGUUAUAAAAAUGAACUUCUAGAAGCUGAUAAUUCACAUCAGAGAAAUGGGGACUAAGGACCAGUCCUGCGAAAGAUGUAUCCUCAUCACUGCCAUCCUGGGGGUCUGCUAAGCCCCAAGCCCUAGAAUACAGAGCGCUUCUGAAAAGAUGUUAUAAUUUUAAUAGAAAAGCAAUUUAGAAGAAAAUCGUAGGAUCCUAUGGUUUCCAAGAGAGAAGAGAGGAGAGAGAAGAGAGGCUCUGGUAUAGACAGAACCAGAAUUAGGAUCCCAUUGUGACUCACCACUUCCUGCCGGUGGGGUCUUCAGGGAUCUACAUGACCUCUCCAAACCCUGGUGUUCUCAUUUAUGCAUCAUAGAUAAUAAACCUACUUCAUUAAGGUGUUCUAAGGAUUAGUUCAGGCUUGUUACUGUAAGCCCCUAACACAUGUGGUACACUGUAAAUGCCCGUUGUUUUUCUCACAUAUGCACCACCACUAAGGAGAGAAAAAACAUGUCGGAGUCUGGGUUCUGAGUUGAAAGCCCCCAGGGCAAUUGAACGGUGAGAAGCAUUUUCCAAAGAGUGCUAGGGUGAAGAAGCCAGAAUCAUCACAAGGCUGAGGAAGGCACUCAAGCCCCAAGAGUGAGAGGAAGGGUAUAGAAGAAUGAGUAACUGGGAGACUCAGAAAGGAAUGGAGUAAGAGGAAGGGCUGAGGGCAAAAAUUCAGAGACCAUGGAUUUAGGGUUCCUGCUUCCUGUAUAGGAGUCCACUGGGGAUGGGCAGAGCAUCUGAAGGCCCUUAUAGGGCCAACUACCCACCAAGUCCUGUCUGUCCUCAAAUGAAGCAGCUAAGAGGGAUGGCAGGAUAUAAAUCUCAGUUCUGGGAAACUCAUGAUUCAAUAGAAUGACCAUGCAAAGUCAACCUACCCAAGGUGCUGGGUCAAAUGGUUUGCACUGAAGGUGUCCAGCACUGCUGCUUAUUAUCCAUGACACAUGUGUAUUAGUGUCUGCUGUGGAUUAUCCUAUUAAUAAUUCAGCAGACAUAAGCUCAAGGGAUGCUCUCACCACUUACUGCUCAUGUGAUUUAAAUCCUCUGAGACUCAUUUUGUCUAUAAAGUGAGGCCACCAUUACCUUCUUUGUAGAGUUGUUGCAAGAAAUAAAAGAAACAAUGUAUGAAAGAUGCAGAUACAGUGCCUGGACUAAAGAAAGGAUUCAAUAGUUGAUAGGCAUGAAGAUGAAGAUGAAGAUGUUGAUUCCAUCUCUUGUAGCUCUAAGACCCUCCAAUUUUGUUCAGACUUCUCACUAGUAUUAUUUCAGAACCUGCUGUGGAUAGCUCACAUAAGAAGAACCCCCUCUGUAUUAAGCACCCCAAGAUAGACAGAUGGGUUUCAAAAAAAUAUCUAGGUGGAAAUAAAGAAAGCCAGCUAAGGUGGGAUCAGGUGGGAUAGAAAAUGAAUGAAUGAAUGAAUGAAUGAAUGAAUGAAUGAAGAUAUACUGAAUAAAUGCCAAGAUGGUAUGGUAGUUUUCCAGCAGGAAUGAAUAUGGUGCUAUUGGGUAGGUGAAGUUAGAGAGAGAGCCUCGCAGAGAAGCACAUUUUGGAAAAGGGGGGGAUGGGGAGGUUAAGAAGCUAAACACAUUCCAGGUGAAAUGAGUAAAUAAAUCCCAAGGAAAGGAUGAAAAUGAGAAUUAAUCAGGAGUGUGCUGAGCCGUGGCACUGCCAGCCACAAUCAGAGGGCUUCUUAAUUGCUUGUCAAAGACCAAUGCAUCCUGGCAAAAUGAUGCUCAAGUAAUGCUGGGACUUCUUUUUCCUAACCUGGCUUCAUUUAUCAUGAUUAGAAAACAAGUCAAAAUUGAUUUCUGUUUAUUUUAUAAAGCAAAUCCUCAGGGAACCCUUCUUCCCAGUAGGUUUGAUAAUUUUUAACUGAGAAGGGGAAUACCCUCAGAACAUAAAGAGCCGCGUUACUUUGGUUUAGGAGAGCAGGGCGUGUGGAUGUGUAAAGUUUAUGGGUGUUAUGAAAAAUGGCAGUCUCUUAAACUUUUACAAAUCACCUCAAGUCCAUCAACAUGAGCCUUUUAGUGCUUUCCUACUUUAAAAUGGGAAGAUUAGAGGCAGUUUAAUAAAACAUUUGUGUUUGAAUUCUUAGCUCUGCCAUCUAAUAGCUGUGUGACCUUGGGCAAGUCACCAGAGGAAAUCUUGAGAUCUAGCUCAAAUCUCUGAGAUUUGAGAAUGAGGUUGCUAACGCCUCUCAGAUUUCCCAGGAGGACUGGGGGUCGUGUACAGGAAAGGUAUCAAUACAGAAGAUCUGCACAGAUAGAAGUGAUAGAAGUGAUGUCAUACAGGUGCAGGGAAACCCAUUGGAUUCUUUAUCCCAUGAGGGCAGGGCCUGUGUGUGUCUGUUUUACUUUGAGUUCUAUCUUGGUUAUUGGCACAUGGCUUGGCACAUAGUUGAUGUCCACUUUAUCUGUUUGACACUCACAUUGCACCUAAUCUAUGCAAAAUUCUGUACUGUUU